rnacentral:rRNA from 1 species
UACGUAGGGUGCGAGCGUUAAUCGGAAUUACUGGGCGUAAAGCGUGCGUAGGUGGUUCGUUAAGUCCGUUGUGAAAGCCCCGAGCUCAACCUGGGAAUGGCAAUGGAUACUGGCAAGCUAGAGUGCGGUAGAGGGUAGUGGAAUUCCCGGUGUAGCGGUGAAAUGCGUAGAGAUCGGGAGGAACACCAGUGGCGAAGGCGGCUACCUGGACCAGCACUGACACUGAGGCACGAAAGCGUGGGGAGCAAACAGG